UACGUAGGGUCCGAGCGUUGUCCGGAGUUACUGGGCGUAAAGGGCGCGUAGGCGGCCCGCUAAGUCGAACGUGAAAUCCCCAGGCUCAACCUGGGAACUGCGUCCGAUACUGGCAGGCUUGAAUCCGGGAGAGGGAUGUGGAAUUCCAGGUGUAGCGGUGAAAUGCGUAGAUAUCUGGAGGAACACCGGUGGCGAAGGCGGCAUCCUGGACCGGUAUUGACGCUGAGGCGCGAAAGCUAGGGGAGCAAACGGG
rnacentral:rRNA from 1 species